AAAUUGAAGAGUUUGAUCAUGGCUCAGAUUGAACGCUGGCGGCAGGCCUAACACAUGCAAGUCGAACGGUAACAGAAAGCAGCUUUCUGCUUUGCUGACGAGUGGCGGACGGGUGAGUAAUGUCUGGGAAACUGCCUGAUGGAGGGGGAUAACUACUGGAAACGGUAGCUAAUACCGCAUAACGUCGCAAGACCAAAGAGGGGGACCUUCGGGCCUCUUGCCAUCGGAUGUGCCCAGAUGGGAUUAGCUUGUUGGUGGGGUAACGGCUCACCAAGGCGACGAUC
rnacentral:rRNA from 1 species